rnacentral:snoRNA from 1 species
AUCUUCUCAUUGGGCUCUUUCCUGUCAAUCCUGGUAUUUUUAUGGAUUCACAUGAGGAAAAGAGACAAUUCAUGGAACUAGCAUUAUUUUACUUUCUGAUUUUACACGGUGGUAUAUUCGACUCUUUUAUGAGACAUUC